AGCGAACGCUGGCGGCAGGCCUAACACAUGCAAGUCGAACGAACCUUUCGGGGUUAGUGGCGGACGGGGGAGUAACACGUGGGAACGUGCCUUUAGGUUCGGAAUAACUCAGGGAAACUUGUGCUAAUACCGAAUGUGCCCUUCGGGGGAAAGAUUUAUCGCCUUUAGAGCGGCCCGCGUCUGAUUAGCUAGUUGGGUGAGGUAAUGGCUCACCAAGGCGACGAUCAGUAGCUGGUCUGAGAGGAUGAUCAGCCACAUUGGGACUGAGACACGGCCCAAACUCCUACGGGAGGCAGCAGUGGGGAAUCUUGCGCAAUGGGCGAAAGCCUGACGCAGCCAUGCCGCGUGAAUGAUGAAGGUCUUAGGAUUGUAAAAUUCUUUCACCGGGGACGAUAAUGACGGUACCCGGAGAAGAAGCCCCGGCUAACUUCGUG
rnacentral:rRNA from 1 species